GACGAACGCUGGCGGCGUGCUUAACACAUGCAAGUCGAGCGGUAAGGCCCUUUCGGGGGUACACGAGCGGCGAACGGGUGAGCAACACGUGGGUGACCUGCCCUCAGCUCUGGGAUAAGCCUGGGAAACCGGGUCUAAUACUGGAUAUGACUCCAUGACGCAUGUUGUGGGGUGGAAAGCCUUGUGCGGCUGAGGAUGGGCCCGCGGCCUAUCAGCUUGUUGGGG
rnacentral:rRNA from 1 species